GAUGAACGCUGGCGGCGUGCCUAAUACAUGCCAGUCGAGCGAACAGAUAGGAGCUUUCCCCUUUUACGGUAGCGGCGGACGGGUGAGUAAAAAGUUGGUAACCUACCUAUAAGGCUGGGGUAACUUCGGGAAACCGGGGCUAAUACCGGAUAAAAUUUUGAAACCGAAGGUUUUAAAGUGGAAGAAUGUUUUGGUAUCACUUAAUGAUGGACCCGCGCCGUAUUAGCUAGUUGGUAAGGUAACGGCUUACCAAGGCAACGAUACGUAGCCGACCUGAGAGGGUGAUCGGCCACACUGGAACUGAGACACGGUCCAGACUCCUACGGGAGGCAGCAGUAGGGAAUCUUCCGCAAUGGGCGAAAGCCUGACGGAGCAACGCCGCGUGAGUGAUGAAGGGUUUCGGCUCGUAAAACUCUGUGAUUAGGGAAGAACAAAUGUGUAAGUAACUGUGCACGUCUUGACGGUACCUAAUCAGAAAGCCACGGCUAACUACGUG
rnacentral:rRNA from 1 species